rnacentral:rRNA from 1 species
CCUACGGGAGGCAGCAGUAGGGAAUAUUGCUCAAUGGGGGAAACCCUGAAGCAGCAACGCCGCGUGGAGGAUGAAGGUUUUCGGAUUGUAAACUCCUUUUGUUAGAGAAGAUAAUGACGGUAUCUAACGAAUAAGCACCGGCUAACUCCGUGCCAGCAGCCGCGGUAAUACGGAGGGUGCAAGCGGUACUCGGAAUCACUGGGCGUAAAGAGCGCGUAGGCGGGAUAGCAAGUCAGAUGUGAAAUCCUAGGGCUUAACCAUAGAACUGCAUUUGAAACUGUUAUUCUAGAGUAUGGGAGAGGUAGGUGGAAUUCUAGGUGUAGGGGUAAAAUCCGUAGAGAUCAAGAGGAAUACUCAUUGCGAAGGCGACCUGCUAGAACAUAACUGACGCUGAUGCGCGAAAGCGUGGGGAGCAAACAGGAUUAGAUACCCCUGUAGUC